rnacentral:rRNA from 1 species
UUGGGGCUUAACCCUGAGCGUGCUUUCGAUACGGGUUGACUUGAGGAAGGUAGGGGAGAAUGGAAUUCCUGGUGGAGCGGUGGAAUGCGCAGAUAUCAGGAGGAACACCAGUGGCGAAGGCGGUUCUCUGGGCCUUUCCUGACGCUGAGGAGCGAAAGCGUGGGGAGCGAACAGGCUUAGAUACCCUGGUAGUCCACGCUGUAAACGGUGGGUACUAGGUGUGGGGUCCAUUCCACGGGUUCCGUGCCGUAGCUAACGCUUUAAGUACCCCGCCUGGGGAGUACGGCCGCAAGGCUAAAACUCAAAGGAAUUGACGGGGCCCCGCACAAGCGGCGGAGCAUGCGGAUUAAUUCGAUGCAACGCGUAGAACCUUACCUGGGUUUGACAUGGAUCGGGAGUGCUCAGAGAUGGGUGUGCCUCUUUUGGGGUCGGUUCACAGGUGGUGCAUGGCUGUCGUCAGCUCGUGUCGUGAGAUGUUGGGUUAAGUCCCGCAACGAGCGCAACCCUUGUUCACUGUUGCCAGCACGUUAUGGUGGGGACCCAGUGGAGACCGCCGGGGUCAACUCGGAGGAAGGUGGGGAUGACGUCAAGUCAUCAUGCCCCUUAUGUCCAGGGCUUCACGCAUGCUACAAUGGCUGGUACAGAGAGUGGCGAGCCUGUGAGGGUGAGCGAAUCUCGGAAAGCCGGUCUCAGUUCGGAUUGGGGUCUGCAACUCGACCUCAUGAAGUCGGAGUCGCUAGUAAUCGCAGAUCAGCAACGCUGCGGUGAAUACGUUCCCGGGGCUUGCACACACCGCCCGU